GCAGCGGAGCGUGUGGUUUAAUUCGAUGAUACGCGAGGAACCUUUACCUGGGCUUAAAUGUAGAGUGCAUUUUCUAGAGAUAGGAAUUCCCUUCGGGGCUUUCUACAAGGUGCUGCAUGGUUGUCGUCAGCUCGUGCCGUGAGGUGUCGGGUUAAGUCCCAUAACGAGCGCAACCCUUAUCGUUAGUUGCCAUCUGGUAAAGCAGGGGACUCUAGCGAAACUGCCACCGUAAGGUGAGAGGAAGGUGGGAUGACGUCAAAUCAGCACGGCCCUUAUGUCCAGGGCUACACACGUGUUACAAUGGUCGGUACAGAGGGCAGCUACCUGGUGACAGGAUGCUAAUCUCGAAAACCGGCCUCAGUUCGGAUCGAAGUCUGCAACUCGACUUCGUGAAGCUGGAUUCGCUAGUAAUCGCGCAUCAGCCAUGGCGCGGUGAAUACGUUCCCGGGCCUU
rnacentral:rRNA from 1 species